rnacentral:pre_miRNA from 1 species
ACAAUAUUUAGACCGUCGGUCUACCGAGCAAAUAUCACCCGCUCCGUGGAAGAUCUUCCUCUUUGUCGU